CCAGAUCUGCAUAGAUCUACCAAAAAACCAAAUCUACCAAAAAAACCAAAUCAGAUCUGCUCGUGACAAGGUGUUCAGAGGAAGCCAGGUUGCUUGUGAUUUUCCUGCUUGCAAGGGGCUUGAGACCUUAGUUCGUCAUUUCUCCAAUUGUAAAACCUGGGUUCCUGGUGGAUGUGCUCACUGCAAGCGCAUGUGGCAGCUUCUUGAAUUGCAUUCUCGUAUUUGCGAUAAGCUUGAUUCAUGCAAGGUCCCUUUGUGUAGGUAAGCAUGAGAAAUCCUGUGGGACUUUGGUGUUGCUGCCAGUAAUAUGGAUGCCAUGUGCCACUAUGAUUGAAAUGAUUUUUGCAUAAUUACUCUCUGUGGUUUGAGGCAUUUCAAGGCAAAAAAUGCAACAGCAGACCCGUGACAAAGGAGCUUUCUCUGGUGUUGAAGCAAGAGGAGCUUCCAAGCUCAAUCUCAGACCUCGAACGAACCUAGAUCAAAUGCUCUUAGCUCUACUCCUCAUCUUCAAGCUCUACUCCUCUUCAUCACGUCGUCGUCAUUGUUGUCGUCAUCAUUGUCAUCGUCGUUGUUUGGUUUGGACUUGAGAUUUUUGAUCUUUUGCUUCAAUUAUGUGUAUCUCUUCGGAUUUUAGUUGAUUUUCGAAAUGUAUUUUAAGAUUUGAUGA